UGUAGACCAAGUAUGUUUUUUUUUUUAAAAAAAAUGAAAAAGUCUAAGAUACUUCAUGAUAUCUUGCAUCCAUCCAUCAAUCUUAUUCUACCGUCUAGGUAUGUUCAAAGUUAAUGUUUUUAUGAAAAAACUAUGUUAUGAUGUUUUGCGAUGCUAUGGUACAACUUAUGCUUAUUUUCAAAGAUAUACUAUGCCAGUUAGAAAUGAUUUGAAAGAUGUGUUUUUUUUUUUUUCAAAAGAUUCGCAUUGGGCUAUAAUUUAUAGGUAGAAUGUUAUGUAAUAGCAGUCAUUUUUCCAAAGGAAAAAAAAAAAAGAAAAAAAAGUGUGUGAUAUGUGAAAAUGCAACAGAGAUGGCUCGUAGAACGGCUAGGGCAUAUAGAGGAGCAUUGAACCGUCCUAUGAGAAUUACGUGACUAAUCUGUUUCGUCCACUUGACGAACAUAUACAUGAUGUCUAUGAGAGAUGCAUGACAUCGGUGAACGCUGGAAUGGAGAUAACGCAUAUUGAGGCUAUAAAUAACCUCAUACACUCCCCUCCACCUCAAUGGGGGAGAUAUGGGAGUCAUGGUUAGGGAUGCAAUGCUAGAGGAGCACCCAAAUAUAUUUGAGUUUGAAGUGUAUUGCCAAUCAUUCCUAGACCUAUGGAGGGAAAACUUAGAACCUGAACCGGAGAUAGUAAUUGAACUUGAUGAAGAAGAAGAGCCUGAAGAAUGGAAUGAUCCUGAGCCCGAGCCACAAGUUGAGAUGGAUAUAGAAUCCAGAGCUGAGGCGGAAGACUCCUCUGGAGAUGAGGCUCCACCAAAGAAGAUCCGUAGAACUUAUAGGGAUUAGAUUUAAAUCUUUGUAACAACUUCCUUUAUGUCAAGAAAUAAAACUUUAUCUUUUUUGUUAGAGUUCGAAGUAUGAAACUAAUAAGAACCAUACAUUUUGUCUAAAAGAAAAUGGCCAGCACAAACCAAACCAACUUAAUAAGAGAUCUUCUCUAAGCGGUCCAAGACCUUGGCAGGCAAAACCCGAACCAGGUGCAACCCCUACCACUAGCUCCUAAUGCUCCUCCAACCCAUGCUUCAGUGGUCGAGCAAUUUAGAAGACACAAGCCCCCUACCUUCAAUGGAGCAGCUGAUCUACUUCCAGCUGAGGAGUGGCUUCGCAAGUUGAAGAGAAUAUUCCGAUUAAUAGGGUGCACGGACGCCCAGAAUGUCCAGUGUGCUGAGUUUAUGUUCUCCGGUGAUGCAAGCCACUGGAGGGACUCGAUGUCAAGGACGAGGACCCCAGAGCAACAAGCAG
rnacentral:lncRNA from 1 species